rnacentral:rRNA from 1 species
UGAGCAACCUGCCCUUGACCCUGGAAUAACAGCUGGAAACAGCUGCUAAUACCGGAUAUGACCUCCGAUGGCAUCAUCUGGAGGUGGAAAGCUCCGACGGUCAAGGAUGGGCUCGCGGCCUAUCAGCUUGUUGGUGAGGUAACGGCUCACCAAGGCUUCGACGGGUAGCCGGCCUGAGAGGGCGACCGGCCACACUGGGACUGAGAUACGGCCCAGACCUNUACGGGA